CUGUAUCUUUGUAGUGACUGGGUAUAUUAAUACACCAUCCAAAGUGUAUUUAAUAACUUCAUCAUGCUCAAAGGGAUAUUUCAUGUCUGCCUUGAAUAUCCCUUAAUGAAGUGGUACCUAAUGAAGGUGUUGUCUAAUGAAGUGGUACCUAAUGAAGGUUUUGUCUAAUGAAGUGGUACCUGAUGACGGUGUUGUCUAAUGAAGUGGUACCUAAUGAAGGUGUUGUCUAAUGAAGUGGUACCUGAUGAAGGUGUUGUCUAAUGAAGUGGUACCUAAUGAAGGUUUUGUCUAAUGAAGUGGUACCUGAUGACGGUGUUGUCUAAUGAAGUGGUACCUAAUGAAGGUGUUGUCUAAUGAAGUGGUACCUGAUGAAGGUGUUGUCUAAUGAAGUGGUACCUGAUGAAGGUGUUGUCUAAUGAAGUGGUACCUGAUGAAGGUGUUGUCUAAUGAAGUGGUACCUGAUGAAGGUGUUGUCUAAUGAAGUGGUACCUAAUGAAGGUGUUGUCUAAUGAAGUGGUACCUAAUGAAGGUGUUGUCUAAUGAAGUGGUACCUGAUGACGGUGUUGUCUAAUGAAGUGGUACCUGAUGACAGUGUUGUCUAAUGAAGUGGUACCUAAUGAAGGUGUUGUCUAAUGAAGUGGUACCUAAUGAAGGUGUUGUCUAAUGAAGUGGUACCUGAUGACGGUGUUGUCUAAUGAAGUGGUACCUGAUGACGGUGUUGUCUAAUGAAGUGGUACCUGAUGACGGUGUUGUCUAAUGAAGUGGUACCUGAUGACGGUGUUGUCUAAUGAAGUGGUACCUGAUGACGGUGUUGUCUAAUGAAGUGGUACCUGAUGACGGUGUUGUCUAAUGAAGUGGUACCUGAUGAAGGUGUUGUCUAAUGAAGUGGUACCUGAUGACGGUGUUGUCUAAUGAAGUGGUACCUGAUGACGGUGUUGUCUAAUGAAGUGGUACCUGAUGACGGUGUUGUCUAAUGAAGUGGUACCUGAUGAAGGUGUUGUCUAAUGAAGUGGUACCUGAUGAAGGUGUUGUCUAAUGAAGUGGUACCUGAUGACGGUGUUGUCUAAUGAAGUGGUACCUGAUGAAGGUGUUGUCUAAUGAAGUGGUACCUGAUGACGGUGUUGUCUAAUGAAGUGGUACCUGAUGACGGUGUUGUCUAAUGAAGUGGUACCUGAUGACGGUGUUGUCUAAUGAAGUGGUACCUGAUGACGGUGUUGUCUAAUGAAGUGGUACCUGAUGACGGUGUUGUCUAAUGAAGUGGUACCUGAUGACGGUGUUGUCUAAUGAAGUGGUACCUGAUGACGGUGUUGUCUAAUGAAGUGGUACCUGAUGACGGUGUUGUCUAAUGAAGUGGUACCUGAUGACGGUGUUGUCUAAUGAAGUGGUACCUGAUGACGGUGUUGUCUAAUGAAGUGGUACCUGAUGACGGUGUUGUCUAAUGAAGUGGUACCUGAUGACGGUGUUGUCUAAUGAAGUGGUACCUGAUGACG